AGGACGAACGCUGGCGGCGUGCUUAACACAUGCAAGUCGAGCGGAAAGGCCCUUCGGGGUACUCGAGCGGCGAACGGGUGAGUAACACGUGAGCAACCUGCCCUUAGCUCUGGGAUAGCUCCGGGAAACCGGAAUUAAUACCGGAUAUGACCUAGGCCGACAUCGGCCGUGGUGGAAAGUUUUUCGGCUAGGGAUGGACUCGCGGCCUAUCAGCUAGUUGGUGGGGUAAUGGCCUACCAAGGCGACGACGGGUAGCCGGCCUGAGAGGGCGACCGGCCACACUGGGACUGAGACACGGCCCAGACUCCUACGGGAGGCAGCAGUGGGGAAUCUUGCGCAAUGGGCGAAAGCCUGACGCAGCGACGCCGCGUGGGGGAUGAAGGCCUUCGGGUUGUAACCCCUUUCAGCAGGGACGAGCGAAAGUGACGGUACCUGCAGAAGAAGCGCCGGCUAACUACGCGCCAGCAGCCGC
rnacentral:rRNA from 1 species